rnacentral:sRNA from 1 species
AUUGAUGAUGCUGACAUGGAAUGAUGACAUGGAAUAAUAUCCCUUGACUCUUUCGCCGUAAACUCCACACAGAGACAUAGCUAAUCGAUUUUCAU